UGCUCCGCAGCCGCCGCCGCCGCGCGCGGGGAGGGCAGGAGAGGAGAGGAGGCUACCUCGGGAGUCCCGCACCUUUCUGGGGAAGACUGAUAAAAAAUUUCAAAUGGAGGCACGGACCCCUUUGGAAGUUUUGAAUGGAGAUGCGGACUCCUUUGAAUUGUAAGUGUGCAGGUAUUCUUAAUACUUUUAAUUGAUGGUAGUCGUCUUUUACAGACCCCUUAGGCUCCCGGGGCUCCGCAGACCACAAGUUGGAAACCACUGCCCUAGUGUUAGAGAGAUACAGAGCUAGAGGGGUGACCCUAGUGUCAGAGAGAGGGUGGGGAGAAAACUCACUUGGUCCAGUUCAUUCCCUCAUCUUUUGUACAGAGCCUAAUCGUGUAUGAAACUGAUGCUCCAGUUCCUCUAAAUCCAAAAGCCAAGAACUAGGCAGCCGUGGGUCAAAUCCAGCACAGAUAAAACUCAGCUAGAAUAGAAAGCACUUCCAUCAGGAAGGAAUUUAGCUCUCCUCCUAAGUAUGUUUUGGGUCCUGGUCAAAUGUAGUCUGGGAGCUAAAGUGGGGCAAGAGAACAACCCAAACACCUUGUGGGUGCUGCAUACUUUUGGGUUAAGAAGAAAAACAAAAACCUAGUGAAAUUUGCCAAACCUCUAACCUGUUUCUGAGUCCACCUUGCAGUGUUCAAAAGCUUUCUCCUGCUAUUCUUAAGAGGAAUGCAGUGUACUGGCUGUGAUGAUUUGAUGAAAAAAUAAAAUACGAUUUUACAACAAUGUCUUUGGUGUGCAGAGGUUUGUAAAAUACAAUGUGAAAUUCAGCGACGGGCAUUUUCGCACUUGUCUCUAGUGUCCGGCUGGCUCAAAAUCCUAGGGAUUGUUUGAACUAAUUAUGUCUUUAAUGUAACUGUUAGGUUUGGGGCUGUUUUCAACACAUCCUUUGUAUUUCUAUGCAGAUCAAGAGGACUUAAAGAGAGUAAAACAUUUUCAGUGUUACAAUCACAUCCACAAACAUUAUUCCAGGAUAGGCUAGAUGUUAGUGGAAAUGUAGUAAUAUAAAGUACAGUGUGUGAGCAAAGCAACAUUUACUCAGCAUUAAACUGUUACAUUAAUAAUAAUGACUUUCAUUUAUAUAGUAGCCCUUUCGGCAAGUGCUGGUGGUUAGUUCUUUUAAAUAACUGCUUUGAUUCACGUAAUAACUUGAUAUACAUAAAGGUAACAGUCAUAUGCAAGAUUUAACUGGUAAAAUGAGGGGGAAAAUCAACUAGCUUUUUCCGGACAUCAGCAAAAUAGGAUAUUAAUGUUAUUUUGUCAAGAUUUAAAUUCAUUACUUGGCAUAAAUAUUUUAUCACAAUGUUUUAAACAGCUGUAUUUUCUGGAAGACAGUGUUAUGAAUAGGAAGGCAUAUUGUGUCCAUUGUGAAAACAUUGAAAAACAGAAGCUUCAUGAUAUAAUGUUGACUUACACUCAAAGAUUAUUGAAACAUGUAUGAACAACGCAUGUCCGGUGUUUAUUGACUUCUUAACUGCUGUGCAGCAAAAUCAGAAAAUAUUAGGACUUCCAUUAUGAAGUUAGUUUGCAAGUCUCAGAAUUUGUCAACUAUGUGUUGAUAACACUUGUAUUUCAGCUACAUCCAACCUUGCUUUUUUUUUUUUCUUUUGGUACUGCAAGUGUAGAAAUGUUAUACGGUUAGCAGAAAACGAGAGUGUGGAAAAAAUUGGUGAGUAAUUCUAGUGGGGGGAAUCAGGUGCAUACCCAAGGGUCAUUACAGCCUGCAACAACAACAAAUUGCAAUUCUAUGCAAACUGCGAGAAAGAGGGUAUAUCAUCUUUGUAGAAAAGAGAAUAACAGAACUGUAAGAUGAAUUCAUGCCAAAUCAUUCAUCAGCUUUUGCCAAGAGAAUACUACAUCUUUGUUAGUGAGCCUUUUUGACAUUUUCUCCUGGAUUUUCUUCUUUUCCAUAUUCAAACACACACUAAUUAUACACAUUAAACCACAUAAGUUGAUUUUUGAAGUCUUUCAUAUGCAAAUAUAAAUAUAGAGGUCUACUUGUGUCUAUUUAUUUAUGUGUGUGUUCUAAAAUCAAAUACAAAAUCAAUUACACAUUUAUGCUUUUAGACAUUAAUGUAAAAGUGUGUAUGUGUGUAUACGGGUAUAUAUAAAAAUGUGAUAAGAUGUACUGAAGGUAGCUCACUUGAGGAUUACAAUACUUUCUGACUUACUUGGUAACUAGUUCUGAACAGGAAAAUAAGCCACAAAGUUUAACACAGAUUUACUUUUAAAAUAUUUUCCCUGGAAAAAAAGUGAGGACUCUUCAGCACUGAAAAGUUUAUACUAAAAUGUGUCCUUCCAUUUAUUUCAGCAAGUCAGCUACAAGAUUGGAACUAAAAGGCUAUAAAAUAGAGGCCCUCAGCACAAUGAAAUCAGUCUGUUAUAAAAGGCAACACAUGCCAGUUUUUCCUCCCCAAUGGCAGAUGCCACACCCUAAAGUAGACAGAAGGCACUGCAGUCUGUGCAAGUGAAGCACGACACAAAGCAACUAUGGUUCAGUUUUUUAGAUCGCAAAUAAUGUAGAAAUAUACCUUUUGCUAUCUUUGCUCAGAUGAUGAGUGGUAGUGUAUGUUAAAUUCAAAUGAUCCUUUCCAAAAGCUCUCUCCAUAUGUAUGAAUUAUGAAUAUAAAUGCAUAUAAUGUAGAAAGCUGUAAUUGCCAUGCAUAUUAUCUGUUGCAAAAUGACUAGAUCAAGUUUUUAGUCUUACAAGUGUACAACUGCAACUUUGUAUUUAAAUUUUGAUCAUUUCUUCAAUGUUAUUAUUUCUUAAAAAUGUAUGUUAUUUAAUACAGUACUGGUUCCUUUUGCAUAAACCAUUGCUAUAUACUCCUA